rnacentral:miRNA from 1 species
AAACGAUGAUGAUGAUGAUGAUGAUGAUGAUGAUGAUGGAUCAUAGAGAUCAACGUAUAUUCCCAAUUAAAAUGACCUUUAUCAUCUUUAUUAUCAUCAAAAGGCAUCAUCA